CAUGGCGCUUGAACUCACGGACAGCGAGAUCAAGACCUGAGCCGAAAUCGGGAGUUGGACGCUUAACCGACUCAGCCGCCCAGGUGUCCUGUUGAAUCCUGUUUUAUUCUUAAAAGCAAGAUCUGUCACAGGAAAAGAAGGGGAAAGGAAGUCGUCAACAGAACUAGGUUCGAAAUGCUCUUUUUGAGGUUCCUUUUUUUUUUUUUAAAGAAAAAAAAAAGUUUUCUUUAUGAAAAUCCGCAAGAGGUGAUCAGCCCCUUAGGGAAUGGAAGCCCCGGGCUGCCCUACAGAGAGCGACGUGUCAUUGGGCAGUCUCCUCACAGAAAUGGCCAGUAUAAGAGAACUCCAGGGUCCCCCUAAAGACGAUACAUCAGGUCAUGGGCACACAGCUCGUUAAGGCCCUCACGAUAGCUUCUAGAAUGGAGCAGAUGUUCAGGAAGUUGCUUGCUACAGAAAAGAAGAUGGUGCCCAACGGACUUAGCGUGGGGGGCGGGGAGGAUGAUGUAACAAUAAAACCUCAGACGGGACCCUGAGUCCUCGGCUUAGGCUGCAGCGCGGGCUGGCUGCCGGCUGCGGUCGGGGGAGGCCAGCAGCGGGGGCAGGGGCGCAGGAGAAUCGCUGGGUGCCUGGGGCUUCCUCCAAUUCUCCUUCCACUUGUCUGAUGCCCCUGCUGUGCUGUCUGCUUUUGCAAAAACCACCCAGAAGCUGCCCCUGGAUAUUUCCAUUUCAGCUUCCUCCGCCGCCCGCCCCGUCUCUGCAGCAGGUGGAUGUGUUACUGUGAGCGGCGGAGAGCCUGUGGGCAGGGCGCGGGCUUGUCCCAGUGCGCGAGCCUGCGGCCAGGGGCCAGGUGGGGGGCAGGGGGGCGACAGCGGCUGUGUCUGUGGUGGUCGGAACUGGAUGGCGGUGCCGAUGAGGUCGUAGCUUAGGACUGCAGGAGGGGGUCCUGCUUCCGAUCAGAGCGAGGGGCUGUGCUCCUCAUGCAUCUCACUCGGGCCGCAGUGGGCUUCUUGCUCUUCCGUCAGCCUUGCCGUGUCCGCCCACCUGCAUCCCUCGGUUACAGACCCGUAACUCAGCCUGGACAGGUGCUCCGGCCCCGUCGCGGGUCCCAGCCCGGCGCCCUCUCUUCUCAGGCACCUUCUGAACCUUGGUUUUUGAAUCCGGCUCGCGGGCACUCUCUGCAUCUCUGUGCUUCCGAAUUGUUUUAUGUUUGUUUGUUUUGUCUUUUAAUAAAGAGUAUUAUUUGGUCCGGGCUGAGGGUGCAAACAGCUCUUCCUAUGCACACGGCAAGAAGGAACGUUUUCUACAAACUUCCCAUCCUGGUUCAGUAAGUGUGAGGUCUUCUGGUGCAGAAUUGUAACAAAUCGCAGACCGUGUUGGGUCGAGGCCAAAGUCUUGCUAUUUUAAAUUAAAUAAAGUACUUAUUUUUCUUUUG